AGCAGAAGUGACGGGUGCAGCUAUGAGCUCCCUAUUAGGGAAGAAAAGUGUACGAGCACCUUCUUUUUAGCCUUCUGGUCGGCUAGAAUGAACAGACCAGGAGAGAGAAACUGCAAGUGGAAGCAGCUCCGAGGAAGCAGGAGCCAUCCCCACCAGUGUGGCUUUGACACUAGAGGGGACACGAGGGACUGUUCUGCAGUCGGCUCACCCCAGACUGCCCAUCACUCAAACCAGAGAUAAAGCUGCGGCCAAAUGCAUCACUCCCCGCUUUUCCUUCUGCUAAAGAACAUACAGGCUCCUAAACCUCUGCAUGGAUUUGGAGGCCCACAAGUCAGUUUAAGAUGAUGCAGAUAUUCAUGAUAUCACUGGAAUUAUGCUCAAAGCAGGAAAGCUUGAUCUGGAAAGAGGUGAGAUUGAUAUUCCUCACCU